GAUUAAAUGAUGAUAAAAUGUCACUGAACAAGUUGGCCGCCUCUAUUUUUGAGAAAGUUAACUUUCAUAGGAUGUUCGCAUUUGCGAGGCAUUUGUCUGAUACAUAC